UACGUAGGGGGCAAGCGUUGUCCGGAUUUAUUGGGCGUAAAGAGCGUGUAGGCGGCCAGGGAGGUCCGUUGUGAAAACUCGAGGCUCAACCUCGAGACGCCGAUGGAAACCCCCUGGCUAGAGUCCGGAAGAGGAGAGUGGAAUUCCUGGUGUAGCGGUGAAAUGCGCAGAUAUCAGGAAGAACACCCGUGGCUAAGGCGGCUCUCUAGUACGGUACUGACGCUGAGGCGCGAAAGCGUGGGGAGCAAACAGG
rnacentral:rRNA from 1 species